rnacentral:rRNA from 1 species
CGCGUAUCCAACCUGCCCACCACUUGGGGAUAACCUUGCGAAAGUAAGACUAAUACCCAAUGAUAUCUCUAGAAGACAUCUGAAAGAGAUUAAAGAUUUAUCGGUGAUGGAUGGGGAUGCGUCUGAUUAGCUUGUUGGCGGGGUAACGGCCCACCAAGGCAACGAUCAGUAGGGGUUCUGAGAGGAAGGUCCCCCACAUUGGAACUGAGACACGGUCCAAACUCCUACGGGAGGCAGCAGUGAGGAAUAUUGGUCAAUGGACGAGAGUCUGAACCAGCCAAGUAGCGUGCAGGAUGACGGCCCUAUGGGUUGUAAACUGCUUUUAUAAGGGAAUAAAGUGAGUCUCGUGAGACUUUUUGCAUGUACCUUAUGAAUAAGGACCGGCUAAUUCCGUGCCAGCAGCCGCGGUAAUACGGAAGGUCCGGGCGUUAUCCGGAUUUAUUGGGUUUAAAGGGAGCGUAGGCCGGAGAUUAAGCGUGUUGUGAAAUGUAGACGCUCAACGUCUGCACUGCGGCGCGAACUGGUUUCCUUGAGUACGCGCAAAGUGGGCGGAAUUCGUGGUGUAGCGGUGAAAUGCUUAGAUAUCACGAAGAACUCCGAUUGCGAAGGCAGCUCACUGGAGCG